rnacentral:rRNA from 1 species
AACGAACGCUGGCGGCAGGCUUAACACAUGCAAGUCGAGCGGUAAGGCCCCUCCGGGGGUACACGAGCGGCGAACGGGUGAGUAACACGUGAGCAACCUGCCCCCGACUCCGGGAUAAGCGGUGGAAACGCCGUCUAAUACCGGAUACGACCAACCGGCUCAUGCCGGGUGGUGGAAAGUUUUUUCGGUUGGGGAUGGGCUCGCGGCCUAUCAGCUUGUUGGUGGGGUAAAGGCCUACCAAGGCGGUUACGGGUAGCCGGCCUGAGAGGGCGACCAGCCACACUGGGACUGAGACACGGCCCAGACACCUGCGGGAGGGAGCAGUGGGGCAUCUUGCGCAAUGGGCGAAAGCCUGACGCAGCGACGCCGCGUGGGGGAUGACGGCCUUCGGGUUGUAAACUCCUUUUACCACUCACGCAGGCCCGGGGUUCUCUCCGGGUUGACGGUAGGUGGGGAAUAAGGACCGGCUAACUACGUGCCAGCCGCCGCCGUAACAC